AUUUGGCUGAACGCCUGUAUGGCUUUGGGACCCAGCCCGGGGGUCAGACAGUGAAGCCUGUCUGCGCGGUCAAUCUGGUUCUCAAAGGCUGUGAGGUGGCAUCAAUAUCCCCCUCCUCCUCGAACUGGGGCAGCAGUUUGGUGUCUAAACUCCCCCCAACACUGGCGUCUCGGGGGCCCUUCCCCACUUACCCCGCGGCAGGCCCUCUUGGCCCGCCUCUCAUCCAUCUCCAACUCGUGCUUCUGCUGUUCUACACGGUCUGCUCGUUCUCUCUCUCUGUCCACCAGCCUCCGAUCCUCCAGCUCCAGCUCCUUCGCUUUCAGCUGCAGCUCCAGUUUCCGCACCUGGACUCACAGAUCGUGCCCAUUCUUGGCCCCAUGCGGUCUGUGGGGGGUACCCCUUUCAGUGCGACCGCUGUUCUCUGGGGUCCACUCUCUCUCAGGGUCUGGCCCCUCCACCUCCUGGAGCCGCACCUCUCUGAGCCUUAGCACGUCUGUCUCUGCCGUGGGCCCCCUCAGGGAGUCCACUCACUCCCUGGUCACUACACAGACUGCCCCCACGGCUACUCCCCAGUUCUCCGGGCACCCCGGGAGCCCCCCUGGGGUCUGGAGCCUGCACCUCAGACGGGUCAUUCUCUACACGCUGAGCAAUCAGCCGCUCCUUAGUGAGCCUCCCCACGCUCAGCCCCCUCUCCCUGCAGAGACGGGCCAGGUCGCUCUUACGGAGCUGGUUCUAGGCCAUGUCCAGGCUGGUUCCGUUCAAUAUCCUCGUUCUAUCGCUGGCAGCCACUCACUGCAAAGCGCCUGUGCCCACAGCCAAUGUCUGCAGGGUGCAUCCACGACUAUCCCACUUCUGACACCACAUUGUCACGGACUCACAGGUCGUGCCCUGGUGGGCUCUGCCUGCUCUCCCUCUCCAGCUCCGAACCCACUGCUUCCCAGCUGGGCAUCUGACAUCACCGGCCCCAAGCCCCUCCUCUGUCCAUUGUCUUCUCUCCAGGUAAACAGGGUCAUAAACCGGGGCCUCCUCUCCUCGCUUCUGUCCUCUGGCCCCCCUGGCUGGAACCAGCUGGUCAUAGAAUCAUAGAAUCAUAGAAUAUCAGGGUUGGAAGGGA
rnacentral:lncRNA from 1 species